rnacentral:rRNA from 1 species
AACGGGUGAGUAACACGUGAGUAACCUGCCCUUGACUCUGGGAUAACUCCGGGAAACCGGGGCUAAUACCGGAUACGAGACGCGACCGCAUGGUCGGCGUCUGGAAAGUUUUUCGGUCAAGGAUGGACUCGCGGCCUAUCAGCUUGUUGGUGAGGUAAUGGCUCACCAAGGCGUCGACGGGUAGCCGGCCUGAGAGGGCGACCGGCCACACUGGGACUGAGACACGGCCCAGACUCCUACGGGAGGCAGCAGUGGGGAAUAUUGCACAAUGGGCGAAAGCCUGAUGCAGCGACGCCGCGUGAGGGAUGAAGGCCUUCGGGUUGUAAACCUCUUUCAGUAGGGAAGAAGCGAAAGUGACGGUACCUGCAGAAGAAGCGCCGGCUAACUACGUGCCAGCAGCCGCGGUAAUACGUAGGGCGCAAGCGUUGUCCGGAAUUAUUGGGCGUAAAGAGCUCGUAGGCGGUUUGUCGCGUCUGGUGUGAAAACUCAAGGCUCAACCUUGAGCUUGCAUCGGGUACGGGCAGACUAGAGUGUGGUAGGGGUGACUGGAAUUCCUGGUGUAGCGGUGGAAUGCGCAGAUAUCAGGAGGAACACCGAUGGCGAAGGCAGGUCACUGGGCCACUACUGACGCUGAGGAGCGAAAGCAUGGGGAGCGAACAGGAUUAGAUACCCUGGUAGUCCAUGCCGUAAACGUUGGGCACUAGGUGUGGGGCUCAUUCCACGAGUUCCGCGCCGCAGCUAACGCAUUAA